UAACGCGUGGGUAACCUGCCUCAUACAGGGGGAUAACAGUUAGAAAUGGCUGCUAAUACCGCAUAAGCGCACGGAAUCGCAUGAUUCAGUGUGAAAAGCCGAGACGGUAUGAGAUGGACCCGCGUCUGAUUAGGUAGUUGGUGAGGUAACGGCCCACCAAGCCGACGAUCAGUAGCCGACCUGAGAGGGUGACCGGCCACAUUGGGACUGAGACACGGCCCAA
rnacentral:rRNA from 1 species